rnacentral:lncRNA from 1 species
CCUGCUCCGGACGUCAGGCUCUCUAAGGACGACGUGGUUCUUCCUUGUGAGGUUGAGGCGCCCGAGAGGCGAUCAGAGCUCAGAGCCGAUUCAUUCCUGCUUGACUUUGGGUCGGUGCCUCGUGAGCGAGCUCAUUUCCCGGGGUUGCGGGUCCUUGCCUGGGGACACGCGAGUUGGAGAGCGCGUGCACCGGUCGUUCCCUUCCCGUGCUGCCCGCGUCCGGAUCGUCGGGACCCGGUUGUCUCUAGUAUGUGGAAAGGCUCGGGCUGGGAACUUCGAGGGAGGAGUUACCCCCUCGAGAUCCGGAGGACCAGAGCGGAGAGCAGGGCCACUGAGACCCUACAGGAUAUGACUCCGAGGAUCGCGUGCUGGACACGAGUGGCUACCGAGCCCGGAGAGCUUCGCGCUGCCUCCUCCUGGUCCCUUUCCAGAGGACUCUUUUCAGUCGGGGAUGCUUAUUAAAGCUCUGGCGGGAAAGAGAGAAUCACAAUUAAAGAAAUUAGUCCUACUCUGCAACGUCGGACACUUUAAUAGUAACUGGGGAGCGAUUGCGUUCAGGGAGAUCGAGGACAAGUAUCCUGGCCAGAUCCUGACAUGUUUUCCCGGUAAGAGUUCUCUGCGGAGGCCACCUUUGGAGGACUCUGUAUAUUGAUGGAAGAGGGAACGCCGGAACCUAUCCCAAAAGUAUUGUCAUGGGAAUUAGGUGUGUGUGGGUUCCAGGAAGGGCGAGGACGGACGGCGCACUACCACAGUCCGAUGAAUGUUCUCAUCACCGACCUUUGGAGUUUUUCAGCAUGUUGGAUUUUUAAACAUGUUCAGGUUGGAAAAUUGAGAGUGUAAUGUUAACAGUAAAGGUAAGUAAUGGUCUGCUUUGUCACUUACGACUAUAAAGCGGCUCAUGAC